GCCAGAAGUUAACUCUGCUGUCACUUCCGGCUCUCUAGGAAACACUGAUACAUGGGUUUUAACCCCUUCAUAUCCGCGAGAACUGAAAAAGGGUGUCAAUGAGACUCCCCACGGAUACGCAGAACUAGUGCUCUUUUAUUCCAUGCACUAUGUAACAAAAGACAAGCAGAGAAGAAUAAUGCCAAAGCUGAAAAUUGUGCAUUAAAAUAGCCUUUCAUAAAAGGACCAGAAUUUUUGAAAUCAGAAGUUCCCAACCCUGGAAGCAAGCCACAGGCUAAGAGAGAUAGAAGCUGAAUGGGCGUAAAGUUUGAUGGCAUGUGGUAUUGGAUUUUCC